UUCUAUAAGGGUACUCCUCCCACCUAAUGAAAGACCCCCAGAGUGGGGAGACCCUCACUCAAGUCUCGGGAUGACGCGACCCCCCCCCCAAGAACUCACUUGAGACC
rnacentral:pre_miRNA from 14 species